AAAAAGAGGCACACAGAAGACGUUAUGAGAGUUUGAACUAAUGGGAAAAGGACAGAUGGUCUUUGGCUGAUGUUGCUGUGUGGAUCUGAUGUCUUGGAAUUCUAUUGAAUUAGAGAGAGAGAGAAAUUGCUGGUAAUGGUGGAUGAAGGAGAGGAACUAGAGGAUUGUUGCAGUUUAUCAUGUGAGCCACCUCCAGGAGUUGAAAGAAGUUGGAAUAGUUUAACUUUAUCGUCAGCGCAGUGGCAGGUGCUUUCUGAAGACUUACAAUUGUCCAGUUGGAGAUUUAAUGUGGAGGGACAUCGCCAGGUGAUCUGUUGGGAGUGGAGGAAUGCCCCAAUUGUUUCCAGAAACAGCGGCUUCUCUGGACGCUUACCUGCUUCAGGAACCGCCGCUGGAGCGAGUGGAAGUUGAGGAGCGAGUUAUUACGUUUUGGUCUUCCCUGAGAAGUGCCUCAGAGAAGACCUCAGCUACAACAAGGGUCGCAACUGAGGUUGGAUGAGGAAUAUCUAAUGACUUGGAGAAUGGAGAGAGGAAUUCUGAUUGUAGUCGUCUCUUCGGGAUGAGCGACGUGGACAAUGGUGUUUCUGGAGUGAUGCUAAUCUCCUCUUCUCUGAGGAGAUCUGGAGCUGGGCUGAAUGUUUCCUCAUGGAGGGCUGAUGGAUGAGCGGUCCGUGGUAAGUUGGAGUUUACUAGAACUUUCAGACUGGCAACAUGGCUAAGCGACGGAAUGUGUUGCUCUGUGCGCUAGAAGCAAGAAUGAACAAAUGGGCCGGCCAGAGUGGUGUGUAUAGACGUACGACAGGAAGGGGAGUGAUUGAGGUGUGGUCCUGCUUCUGAACCUCAGCUAAAGACUUUAUCUCCAUACAGUAUUUUGUAGUGAAGUGAGGGACAUUCAUGAUGUUAUUCUGAUGAUGGUAGAUGAGUCCAAGUGAUAAAUGCAUCCCAGAGUCUUCUAUUAUCCUGAGAAGUAGGCUUUCCUCAUAGAGCAGGCAUCAGAACACACUUCUGCUGAACAAUAAGAGUGAAAAACCCAAAAACUGAAAAAAUGUAACCCAAUCAUUGUUCUGUGUACACUGCCACAUGAUGCAUAAUGUACGUAGUAGCACUGGAAUAAAUCAACUUUUAAUGGAUGGCAAAUGGGUUUAACAUGUUCUCUGUAAACUGUUCAUUGUUCCUUCAUUUUGCAGGUGAACUUUUGUCCUAACAAGGAGAGACAUCAAGGUCAAACCAUUAAAGACUAUC
ensembl:lncRNA